rnacentral:piRNA from 1 species
CGUCGAGUUACAUUCAGGCAGUAUGGGC